rnacentral:rRNA from 1 species
AGCAGCCGCGGUAAUUCCAGCUCCAAUAGCGUAUAUUAAAGUUGUUGCAGUUAAAAAGCUCGUAGUUGAAUUUCGGGAUUAAUAUGUUGGUCGUGCCUUGGUACGUACUGGCAUUAUUGGUUCCUACCUUCUGAAGAACCUCGAUGUCAUUAAUUUGGUGUCUUGGGGAAUCAGGACUGUUACUUUGAAAAAAUUAGAGUGUUUAAAGCAGGCUCGCGCUUGAAUACAUUAGCAUGGAAUAAUGAAAUAGGACGUUUGAUUCUAUUUUGUUGGUUUCUAGGAUCGACGUAAUGAUUAAUAGGGAUAGUUGGGGGCAUUAGUAUUCAAUUGUCAGAGGUGAAAUUCUUGGAUUUAUUGAAGACUGACUACUGCGAAAGCAUUUGCCAAGGAUGUUUUCAUUAAUCAAGAACGAAAGUUAGGGGAUCGAAGACGAUCAGAUACCGUCGUAGUCUUAACCAUAAACCUAUGCCGACUAGGGAUCGGAUGAUGUUAAUUUUUAANGUACUCAUUCGGCGCCUUA